UACGUAGGGGGCAAGCGUUAUCCGGAAUUACUGGGUGUAAAGGGAGCGUAGGCGGUGAUGCAAGUCAGAUGUGAAAACCCGGGGCUCAACCCCGGGAGUGCAUUUGAAACUGUGUGACUGGAGUGCAGGAGAGGCAAGUGGAAUUCCUAGUGUAGCGGUGAAAUGCGUAGAUAUUAGGAGGAACACCAGUGGCGAAGGCGGCUUGCUGGACUGUAACUGACGCUGAGGCUCGAAAGCGUGGGGAGCAAACAGG
rnacentral:rRNA from 1 species